AUAUCUCUCUGUACGGGAAGGAUGAGAAGCUUCGACCAAGGUUCGAUUCGAGCGCAGCGAGAAAGCGUUGCCGCAGGCAACGACCCGAAGGGCGAAG
rnacentral:sRNA from 1 species